GAUGAAGAACGUAGCGAAAUGCGAUACUUGGUGUGAAUUGCAGAAUCCCGUGAACCAUCGAGUCUUUGAACGCAAGUUGCGCCCGAAGCCAUUAGGCCGAGGGCACGCCUGCCUGGGCGUCACACGUCGUUGCCCCCCCAUCUACUCCUUCGGGAUUGCGGGGGGCGGAUGAUGGCCUCCCGUGCGCCUCGUCGCGCGGUUGGCAUAAAUGCCAAGUCCUCGGCGACGCACGCCACGACAAUCGGUGGUUGCGAAACCUCGGUUGCCCGUCGUGUGCGGUCGUCGCGCAUCGAGGGCUCGAAAAAAUUGUCGGGCUCCGGCUCGGCUUUCAACGCGACCCCAGGUCAGGCGGGGUUAUCCGCUGAAUUUAAGCAUAUCAAUAAGCGGAGGA
rnacentral:misc_RNA from 1 species